AGCGGCAGGCUUAACACAUGCAAGUCGAGGGGCAGCACGGGUAGCAAUACCUGGUGGCGACCGGCGCAAGGGUGCGUAACGCGUGAGCAACAUGCCCUAUACAGGGGGAUAAUCCAGGGAAACUUGGUCUAAUAUCCCAUAGUAUUUAGAGGAGGCAUCUUCUAUAAAUUAAAGCUUCGGUGGUAUAGGAUUGGCUCGCGUGACAUUAGCUAGAUGGUGAGGUAACGGCUCACCAUGGCAAUGAUGUCUAGGGGUUCUGAGAGGAAGGCCCCCCCACACUGGGACUGAGACACGGCCCAGACUCCUACGGGAGGCAGCAGUGAGGAAUAUUGGACAAUGGAUGGAAAUCUGAUCCAGCCAUGCCGCGUGCAGGAAGACAGCCCUAUGGGUUGUAAACUGCUUUUAUAUGGGAGCAAUAAGGUCUACGUGUAGACUGAUGAGAGUACCAUAUGAAUAAGCAUCGGCUAACUCCGUG
rnacentral:rRNA from 1 species